rnacentral:rRNA from 1 species
GAUGAACGCUGGCGGCGUGCCUAAUACAUGCAAGUCGAGCGAACGGACGAGAAGCUUGCUUCUCUGAUGUUAGCGGCGGACGGGUGAGUAACACGUGGAUAACCUACCUAUAAGACUGGGAUACCUUCGGGAAACCGGAGCUAAUACCGGAUGAUAUUUUGAACCGCAUGGUUCACAAGUGAAAGACGGUCUUGCUGUUACUUAUAGAUGGAUUCGCGCUGCAUUAGCUAGUUGGUCAGGUAACGGCUUACCAAGGCAACGAUGCGUAGCCGACCUGAGAGGGGGGUCGGCCACACUGGAACGGAGACACGGUCCAGACUCCUACGGGAGGGAGCAGUAGGGAAUCUUCCGCAAUGGGCGAAAGCCUGACGGAGCGACGCCGCGUGAGUGAUGAAGGUCUGCGGAUCGGAAAACUCUGUUAUUAGGGAAGAACAUAUGUGUAAGUGACUGUGCACAUCGUGACGGUACCUAAUCAGAAAGCCACGGCUAACUACGUG